AAAGGUAUAGCUCAGUGGUAAGAGUGCAUGCCUAGCACACACAGGGUCCUGGGUUCAAUUCCCAGGACCUCCA
rnacentral:tRNA from 1 species